rnacentral:rRNA from 1 species
UACGUAGGGGGCUAGCGUUGUCCGGAAUCAUUGGGCGUAAAGAGCGUGUAGGCGGUCCGGUAAGUCCGCUGUGAAAGUCGGGGGCUCAACCCUCGAAUGCCGGUGGAUACUGUCGUGCUAGAGUGCGGAAGGGGCUACUGGAAUUCUCGGUGUAGCGGUGAAAUGCGUAGAUAUCGAGAGGAACACCUGCGGCGAAGGCGGGUAGCUGGGCCGACACUGACGCUGAGGCGCGAAAGCCAGGGGAGCGAACGGG